rnacentral:lncRNA from 1 species
GUUCAGUUGGCUCAGUGUGGGGUACAGGAACAGGGAAGGCAAAUCGGUAGGAGGUUGACUGAGAAAACGGUAGACAUUACACCCGGAACUUCUAUCAUUCUACCUACUGGCUGUGUUCCCUGCACCUGUCAUCCCUCUGCUCUGCCCAGUGUCUUUCAGAAUUCUUUAUCGUCCUCUAGUUGGGAACGCCAACAGCUCAGCUUCUCCUAAAGAUCCUUCCACGAGGAAUCACAGACAAUCUUCCUGUACAGAACAGUCAUUUCAAUCAAGACUUGUAGCUUAACAAGUAGGGAACAGAAGGUCAUUCUCUAAGACAGGAUGCCGGGAGGACAAGAGCUGAAUGGGCCAAGCUGGGCCAGAGACGCCAUCCCCAGCCAGAAUCCCCCCAGGGAAAUUAUUCCUGAGCCUGCACUAUAUGAUAAACAGGUGCCAUAUAUUCUGGACCUGUGGAAUGGACUCCAAAUGAGAGACCCUCUGGAUAGACGUCUAAAGACACUUUAUUUGGAGAGAGCCUUCCCUCAUUCAGCAACCCAAUCGCCUUGAUUUGGACUUUGGGUCUGUGUGUGCCUACACAGAGGUGGGAGGUCGACAGGACCAUGUUGGGGUUAAAUAAAAACCCACACCCCUCUCUUGCCA